rnacentral:lncRNA from 1 species
UUCUAUGCGGCGAUCCAAUAUCCAACCUUCAAAGCAACGAUUUUGGUGUUGUUUGGUUUUGAAUUUGAUUUUGCUGUAGUUUUAAUGAAAGAGAUGAAACAUCAAAACUUGAUAGUCAGAUUCAAGCUGUGAUCAGUUAGCUAAUGUUAGAUGCCACACCAUCGAAAAUGUCAUGUCAGUAGCCACAUCACCCGUACCGAUGUUGAUGAUGCCGCCAGCCCCUGGUCGAGAUCCGCAACCGUCAGGAUCUGGAGUUUCAGUUGAUUUAUAUCUGUGA